CCUGUGGAGAUGGCUCUGCUGCCUCACAGAGUGUGCUUUGAGUUGCUGUGACCCUCAUACUAAGAUGCUAAAAUCAUCUUAAAAUGUACUUGAUCCAGUAACGUAUCCAGGAUGAGUAUGGAGUGGGAAGACUCAAUGUACGCCUGGAGCCAAGGUAUCCUGCAGAUGCGGAAACACCUGUUCUCUUGCUGCUCAAGGGCUAGCACAGGCCCAGCUGCUCCUAUGCGUGGGAGGUGGUUACAAAUGCAGAACCUGAGCACCUACCUUACUGGACUGAAGCCCCGUAUGUAUCUUGCCUUUCCGUAGCGCAUCCCCUAUUCCCAGGUGGCAGUGACUUCCUGGAAUGAGUUGGAGUUUGUGCUGCCCCUUCAUUAAUCCAUUAGUUCACUGACCCACAUCAAUGCUAAUCCUCAUAAAAACCUUCAAAAUACCUCAGCCUUUCUUUUUUCUUUUUUUGGUACCGAGGAUUGAACUCAGGACCUCACACGACUGAGCUAAAUCCCCAG
rnacentral:lncRNA from 1 species